rnacentral:piRNA from 1 species
CAAAUCUUUCUCUUCUGGACA